GCGAGGACGCGUGCUUGAGUGCAAGGACAGAUCGGCGCGUGCGGGGCUGAAGCAAGCCGAGGGCACCGAGGCGGGACCGCACGGCGCGGAGCUGCGGCCGAGCAUCCGAAUCCAGGUCCAGGACGCUGAGCGAGGGCCAUCAACCUGACCCCCGCCGCCGCCCAGCUGCCGGGAGGAGAAGCUGCCUCAGUUUCACCCAAGAAGGGCAAAGGAUGUAAAGGGAACCUGACCUGGCCUCAGCCCAAAGCAGCGACCGAGACCCAGGCUGCCGACCGGAUGCAGAUCCCUGCUUAUGGCCUGAGAAAGCAGUCAAGGACAGCCCAGGGAGGCCUUGGGACCCUGUACCCACGUGGGAAACCCAGAGGAGGCUCCUGGUUCCUGGGUCCUGGCUUCGGAUCAGCUCAGUUCUGGCCAUUGCAGCCAUUGGGGGAGUGAACCAUUAGGUGGAAGAUCUGUCUCUCCUUCUCGCUAUAAAUCUGAGUUUCCAAUAAGAAUUAAUA